GAUGAACGCUAGCGACAGGCCUGACACAUGCAAGUCGAGGGGCAGCAUGAGAGUAGCUUGCUACUUUUGAUGGCGACCGGCGCACGGGUACGUAACAGGUGUGCAAUCUGUCCAUAAUCGGGGAAUAGCCCAGCGAAAGUUGGAUUAAUGCUCCAUGUGAGCCGAGGAGGCAUCUCUUUGGUUUGAAACGUAAGGAUUAUGGGUGAGCACGCUUCUGAUUAGGUAGUUGGUGAGGUAACGGCUCACCAAGCCGACGAUCAGUAGGGGUUCUGAGAGGAAGGUCCCCCACAUUGGAACUGAGACACGGUCCAAACUCCUACGGGAGGCAGCAGUGAGGAAUAUUGGUCAAUGGACGGAAGUCUGAACCAGCCAAGUCGCGUGAAGGAUGAAGGUUCUAUGGAUUGUAAACUUCUUUUGUCUGAGGGUAAAAAAGCGGACGUGUCCGUUCUUGCAAGUAUCAGACGAAUAAGCAUCGGCUAACUCCGUGCCAGCCGCCGCGGUAAUAC
rnacentral:rRNA from 1 species